rnacentral:rRNA from 1 species
CCCUUAGAUGUUCGGGGCCGCACGCGCGCUACACUGAAGGAAUCAGCACGUCUUUCUCCUUGUCCGAAAGGACUGGGUAACCCGCCGAACCUCCUUCGUGCUAGGGAUUGGGGCUUGUAAUUCUUCCCCAUGAACGAGGAAUUCCCAGUAAGCGCGAGUCAUAAGCUCGCGUUGAUUACGUCCCUGCCCUUUGUACACACCGCCCGUCGCUACUACCGAUUGGAUGGUUUAGUGAGAUCCUCGGAUUGGUCCCGGCGCGGCCUCUGGUCGUGCCGGAGUGCCGAAAAGAAUGUCGAACUUGAUCAUCUAGAGGAAGUAAAAGUCGUAACA